rnacentral:rRNA from 1 species
AUUGAACGCUGGCGGCAUGCCUUAAACAUGCAAGUCGAACGGCAGCACGGGGCAACCUGGUGGCGAGUGGCGAACGGGUGAGUAAUGUAUCGGAACUUACCUUUCAGUGGGGAAUAACGUAGCGAAAGUUACGCUAAUACCGCAUAUUCUGUGAGCAGCAAAGCAGGGGAUCUUCGGACCUUGCGCUGAAUGAACGGCCGAUAUCAGAUUAGCGAGUUGGUGAGGUAAAGUGUCACCAAGGCGACGAUCCGUGGCGGGUCUGUGAGGAUGAUCCGCCACACUGGAACUGAGACACGGUCCAGACUCCUACGGGAGGCAGCAGUGGGGAAUUUUGGACAAUGGGCGCAAGCCUGAUCCAGCCAUGCCGCGUGAGUGAAGAAGGCCUUCGGGUUGUAAAGCUCUUUCAGCCGGGAAGAAAACGCAUGGGUUAAUACCCUGUGUGGAUGACGGUACCGGAAUAAGAAGCACCGGCUAACUACGUGCCAGCAGCCGCCGUAAUAC